UGCGUUGAAGCGCAGCAGUUGACUGGACAUCUAGGGGUAAAACACUGUUUCAGUGCGGGCAACGAGAGCGGUACCAAAUCGAGGCAAACUCUGAAUACUAGCACGUGUGUUGCCCAG
rnacentral:rRNA from 1 species